rnacentral:rRNA from 2 species
CCAUGCGNCNCAUUGUAGCAGUACAAGGCAUACGGCUCAGUAACGCGUAGUCAACCUAACCUAUGGACGGGAAUAACCUCGGGAAACUGAGAAUAAUGCCCGAUAGAACAUUAUGCCUGGAAUGGUUUAUGUUCCAAAUGAUUUAUCGCCGUAGGAUGGGACUGCGGCCUAUCAGUUUGUUGGUGAGGUAAUGGCCCACCAAGACUAUUACAGGUACGGGCUCUGAGAGGAGUAGCCCGGAGAUGGGUACUGAGACACGGACCCAGGCCCUAUGGGGCGCAGCAGGCGAGAAAACUUUGCAAUGUGCGAAAGCACGACAAGGUUAAUCCGAGUGGUUUCUGCUAAAGAAACCUUUUGUCAGUCCUAGAAACACUGAUGAAUAAGGGGUGGGCAAGUUCUGGUGUCAGCCGCCGCGGUAAAACCAGCACCUCAAGUGGUCAGGAUGAUUAUUGGGCCUAAAGCAUCCGUAGCCGGCUCUGUAAGUUUUCGGUUAAAUCUGUACGCUCACGUACAGGCUGCCGGGAAUACUGCAAACUAGGGAGUGGGAGAGGUANACGGUACUCGG